rfam:Danio rerio chromosome 4, GRCz11 reference primary assembly.
AAAAAAAAAAGGAAAUGCCCGAUCUCAUCUGAACUCGGAAGUAAAGCAGGGUCGGGCCUGGUUAGUACUUGGAUGGGAGACCGCCUGGGAAUACCAGGU